rnacentral:rRNA from 1 species
GACGAACCGUGCGAACGUUGUUCGGAAUCACUGGGCUUAAAGGGCGCGUAGGCGGGCGGUCAAGUCGGUGGUGAAAUCCCUCGGCUCAACUGAGGAACUGCCUUUGAAACUGUCUGGCUUGAGGCCGGGAGGGGGUAGCGGAAUUCCCAGUGUAGCGGUGAAAUGCGUAGAUAUUGGGAGGAACACCAGUGGCGAAGGCGGCUACCUGGACCGGUUCUGACGCUGAUGCGCGAAAGCGUGGGUAGCAAACAGG